rnacentral:rRNA from 1 species
AAAGCGAUUCAGCGGGUUACGAUUGACGGAGCGAAGCGACGUCAAAGCGUAUACAAAGUCGAGUCGGUUUAAGGAUACGUUCGUUGGGUAGGGGAGCGUUCUGUAAGCCUGUGAAGGUGGCCUGUGAGGGUUGCUGGAGGUAUCAGAAGUGCGAAUGCUGACAUAAGUAACGAUAAAGCGGGUGAAAAGCCCGCUCGCCGGAAGACCAAGGGUUCCUGUCCAACGUUAAUCGGGGCAGGGUGAGUCGACCCCUAAGGCGAGGCCGAAAGGCGUAGUCGAUGGGAAACGGGUUAAUAUUCCCGUACUUGGUGUUACUGCGAAGGGGGGACGGAGAAGGCUAUGUUGGCCGGGCGACGGUUGUCCCGGUUUAAGCGUGUAGGUGUGUGUUCCAGGUAAAUCCGGUUCACUUUAACACUGAGGCGUGAUGACGAGGCACUACGGUGCUGAAGCAACAAAUGCCCUGCUUCCAGGAAAAGCCUCUAAGCAUCAGGUAACAUCAAAUCGUACCCCAAACCGACACAGGUGGUCAGGUAGAGAAUACCAAGGCGCUUGAGAGAACUCGGGUGAAGGAACUAGGCAAAAUGGUGCCGUAACUUCGGGAGAAGGCACGCUGACAC